GUACACUCCUGCGGGAGGCAGCAGUGGGGAAUAUUGGACAAUGGGCGCAAGCCUGAUCCAGCCAUGCCGCGUGAGUGAUGAAGGCCCUAGGGUUGUAAAGCUCUUUCACCGGUGAAGAUAAUGACGGUAACCGGAGAAGAAGCCCCGGCUAACUUCGUGCCAGCAGCCGCGGUAAUACGAAGGGGGCUAGCGUUGUUCGGAUUUACUGGGCGUAAAGCGCACGUAGGCGGACUAUUAAGUCAGGGGUGAAAUCCCGGGGCUCAACCCCGGAACUGCCUUUGAUACUGGUAGUCUUGAGUUCGAGAGAGGUGAGUGGAAUUCCGAGUGUAGAGGUGAAAUUCGUAGAUAUUCGGAGGAACACCAGUGGCGAAGGCGGCUCACUGGCUCGAUACUGACGCUGAGGUGCGAAAGCGUGGGGAGCAAACAGGAUUAGAUACCCCAGUAGUCCCAUGA
rnacentral:rRNA from 1 species